GACAUCAACUGUCAAAACAAAGCCUGAAACUUUUUAAGGUUAUGUUUUCAAGCUGAUUGUUGAAAAACUUAAUUUUCAGUGUAAUAGAAGUAUAUACGCACGAUAGACAACUUACCACCAAGUUGUCAUACGUCCAUAAUACACUAUAUCUAAUUGGAAAGCUCAGCUAAACCCUGUUUGUGUCAACUUUCUGUAAAAAAAAAAAAAACGAAAAUAUGCCAAGUUGCGCUCUAAUCUACUGUAAUACACGCUAUGGUACAACGACUGGACCAAACUGUGGUUUAUUUUCUUUUCCGAAACUAAAUAGACAGGAACGCGAAAAAUGGGUCAAGUUCGUGCAGAGUGAGCGCGGAGAAAAAAAAUGGCUUCCAUCCGCUGCAUCAAAGUUAUGUUCCAAGCAUUUUAAAAAAGAUGACAUUUACCGUGGAAAGACUGGCCGGUUGAUGUUGAAAAAAGGAGCCGUGCCUUAUUCACGUGAAGUUGAAUCAGCGAAUGAAACACGGAAGGUAUGUCCGAGCUGUCAUGCGACUCUUCCCGACUCCUUCCAAGCUACUCAGUCUAGACAUAAGCAAGUGAGAUCAAUAAUAGCGAAGGUAUACCACUUCUUGGAGCGCGAGUACGAACAGUUGAAGAGCUUGCACCCGGAGACGGACUGGUCUCCGCUGAGCAGGGUCAGGCAGCGCGCGGCCGUCGCCACCGGCGUCUCGGAGCCCGACGUGCGAGACAUACUUAGCGAAGAGUCUGACAGGCUUGUCGCCGAAAAAAAAACACCCAAUAAACGAGCUAGAACUACCCACGAGAGUUCAUCUGACGACGACUAUGAUGAUGAUGAUGAUGGAACAAGCAAUGAUGAUGACGACAGUGACAAACAAACUGAAGAUUUAAUGGAGGAAUCGAGCGUCUACAUAGGUAACGUGAAAUCUGAAGCCAACCCACUACAGGAGACUGAACCAGAAACGCUAAUUAUUAAGAAAGAACCAAAAACUAUCACAAAUGAUUCGUAAGUUAUAUACUUAGGAUACCUGCGAGUUACCGCGGCGCUGAUACAUAAAGGGCUUAAGAAGGAACAUGUGUAACGGAAAAAGUGUGUAAGAAAGGAGAGCAGCCAAAUAAACCCGAGAUCCAAGAUAUCAA
rnacentral:misc_RNA from 1 species